GACGAACGCUGGCGGCGUGCCUAAUACAUGCAAGUCGAACGCAGUGGGGACGGGUGAGUAACCCGUGGGUAACCUCCCAUCAGAGGGGAUAACACUUGGACACAGGUGCUAAACCGAUAUUGAUGGUUGGACCCGCGGUGCAUUAGCUAGUUGGUGAGGUAAAGGCUAACCAAGGCCACGAUGCAUAGCGGGCCUGAGAGGGUGAUCAGCCACACGGGGACUGAGACACGGCCCAGACUCCUACGGGAGGCAGCAGUAGGGAAUCUUCGGCAAUGGACGAAAGUCUGACCGAGCAACGCCGCGUGAGUGAAGAAGGUUUUCGGAUCGUAAAGCUCUGUUGUUUGAGAAGCGGUAUCUACCCAAAAAGCCACGGCUAACUACGUGCCAGCAGCCGCGGUAAUAC
rnacentral:rRNA from 1 species